AUGGAGUCGGGUGCCCUCAUCAACCAUGCCCGCCGCCCCCGCAAUAGCCACAAGGUCAUCGCCGCCUCGCCAGCGAUGGAGCACCAGGUCUUCCUGCUGAACUAGCACGCGGUCGUGGUCACCGCAGUGGGCACCAAGGCGCACGAGGCGAGCCCGCUGUCCCUCGGCCGCGCGAUCGAGCGCGAGCUCAAGAUCCCCCCGCACCUCCUCCGCGUCACCAACCACAACCCCGAGGACUUCUUUGUCUACUUCACCCUGCCGGCGCACAAGGACCUGGUGGUGCGGUGCGACUCGUUAUCGGUGGAUGGCGUGCCGUUCCUGCUCGAGCCCUGGCGAGAGGAUGCCCACGCCGUCCGGCUCAAGUGGAUGCUGCAUGUGCGUGUCAUCAUCGAGAAGCUCCCCAUGCAGCUCUGGAUGAUGCAAGGUGCGGUGGAGGCCAUCAGCGACAAGGCGAUCGUGGACUGCCUCGAUAGUCGGACUCACGAACGCGUCGACACCAAGUUGUUCGCGUGCUAGGUUUGGUGC
rnacentral:rRNA from 1 species